rnacentral:rRNA from 1 species
UAGAGUUUGAUCCUGGCUCAGAUUGAACGCUGGCGGCAGGCUUAACACAUGCAAGUCGAGCGGGGGAGAUUGCUUCGGUAAUUGACCUAGCGGCGGACGGGUGAGUAAUACUUAGGAAUCUGCCUAUUAAUGGGGGACAACAUCUCGAAAGGGAUGCUAAUACCGCAUACGCCCUACGGGGGAAAGCAGGGGAUCACUUGUGACCUUGCGUUAAUAGAUGAGCCUAAGUCGGAUUAGCUAGUUGGUGGGGUAAAGGCCUACCAAGGCGACGAUCUGUAGCGGGUCUGAGAGGAUGAUCCGCCACACUGGGACUGAGACACGGCCCAGACUCCUACGGGAGGCAGCAGUGGGGAAUAUUGGACAAUGGGGGGAACCCUGAUCCAGCCAUGCCGCGUGUGUGAAGAAGGCCUUAUGGUUGUAAAGCACUUUAAGCGAGGAGGAGGCUCUUUUGGUUAAUACCCAAGAUGAGUGGACGUUACUCGCAGAAUAAGCACCGGCUAACUCUGUGCCAGCAGCCGCGGUAAUACAGAGGGUGCGAGCGUUAAUCGGAUUUACUGGGCGUAAAGCGUGCGUAGGCGGCUUUUUAAGUCGGAUGUGAAAUCCCCGAGCUUAACUUGGGAAUUGCAUUCGAUACUGGGGAGCUAGAGUAUGGGAGAGGAUGGUAGAAUUCCAGGUGUAGCGGUGAAAUGCGUAGAAAUCACGAAUUCUGGAUCCGAUAAGAAACCCGUGUGCCGGACGUUUGUCC